rnacentral:rRNA from 1 species
AACGAACGCUGGCGGCAGGCCGAACACAUGGAAGUCGAACGAUUGCCUUCGGGUGAUAGUGGCGAAUGGGUGAGUAACGAGUGGGAAUUUGAUCUUAGGUUUGGAAUAACAGAUGGAAACGGCUGCUAAUACCGGAUGAUAUCGCGAGAUCAAAGAUUUAUCGCCUGAGGAUGAGCCCGCGUUGGAUUAGGUAGUUGGUGGGGUAAAGGCCUACCAAGCCGACGAUCCAUAGCUGGUCUGAGAGGAUGAUCAGCCACACUGGGACUGAGACACGGCCCAGACUCCUACGGGAGGCAGCAGUGGGGAAUAUUGGACAAUGGGCGCAAGCCUGAUCCAGCAAUGCCGCGUGAGUGAUGAACGCCCUAGAGUUGUAAAGCUCUUUUACCCGGGAAGAUAAUGACUGUACCGGGAGAAUAAGCCCCGGCUCCCUCCGUC